rnacentral:rRNA from 1 species
UGAGGAAUAUUGGACAAUGGAUGGAAAUCUGAUCCAGCCAUGCCGCGUGCAGGAAGACGGCCCUAUGGGUUGUAAACUGCUUUUGUAUGGGAGCAAUAAGGACUACGUGUAGUUUGAUGAGAGUACCAUACGAUUAAGCAUCGGCUAACUCCGUGCCAGCAGCCGCGGUAAUACGGAGGAUGCGAGCGUUAUCCGGAUUUAUUGGGUUUAAAGGGUGCGUAGGCGGCGAUAUAAGUCAGUGGUGAAAUAUUUCGGCUUAACCGAGAGACUGCCAUUGAUACUGUGUUGCUAGAAUAUGGUUGCUGUGAGUGGAAUGUGUGGUGUAGCGGUGAAAUGCUUAGAUAUCACACAGAAUAUCGAUUGCGAAGGCAGCUCACAAAGCCAUUAUUGACGCUGAGGCACGAAAGUGUGGGGAUCAAACA